UCCAUGGUGGCUCAGAUGGUAAAGCAUCUGCCUGCUAUGUGGGAGACCCAGGUUCAAUCCCUGGGUCAGGAA
rfam:Ovis aries breed Texel chromosome 15, whole genome shotgun sequence.